rnacentral:lncRNA from 1 species
CUCUGCGUGCGCCGGAGGCUGCCGUGGCGGGACGUCUGCUCACUGGAGAUGACACGUGCGUGGGGUGUUGGGAGGUGACUUCGCCUGUGAUGGACUUCCAGUGUGAGCACUGGCCAGAGUGACCAGGCUGACCAGCACCAGCCCUGAUCCAGAUGCAGAGGCCAGGAUGUGGGCCCAGCCCUGUGCCAGGAGGCUGGCUGGAAUAAAGGUACAGAUAGAGGCCUCACCCCCUCUGGGACCACUGGCACUCAGGGUGUUUGCAGCCUCAGAGCCCACCUGCCCCCAGGGCCACAGCUGCAUCUCCUGCCCUGCUGUCAUUACAGGGAUGGGCAGGCUGGCAUGGGGGCAGCCGCUGCCCCUGCCUGGGUGUUGCUGUGUAUUCCUGCCGGCCAGGGGCCACUGCCAGGACCACGCCUCCCUUUUCAUAUCCCGAUUCUUAAGUUCUGCUAUUGUGGUAUUCUGGUGGAGAAAAAAGAACCGCGUGGCUGUUUUUGAACUGCCUGGAACCUAAGACCCUGAAUUCUUUUCCCCCCCAAGGGGAAAAUCUAUAUGGAAAACAUUUAUUUUAAAAUACAGGAUGAAGUGAAUUAAAAGAUUUAAAUGCA